rnacentral:rRNA from 1 species
GAUGAACGCUGGCGGCGUGCCUAAUACAUGCAAGUCGAGCGAACGGACGAGAAGCUUGCUUUUCUGAUGUUAGCGGCGGACGGGUGAGUAACACGUGGAUAACCUACCUAUAAGACUGGGAUAACUUCGGGAAACCGGAGCUAAUACCGGAUAAUAUUUUGAACCGCAUGGUUCAAAAGUGAAAGACGGUCUUGCUGUCACUUAUAGAUGGAUCCGCGCUGCAUUAGCUAGUUGGUAAGGUAACGGCUUACCAAGGCAACGAUGCAUAGCCGACCUGAGAGGGUGAUCGGCCACACUGGAGCUGAGACACGGUCCAGACUCCGACGGGAGGCAGCAGUAGGGAAUCUUCCGCAAUGGCGAAAGCCUGACGGAGCAACGCCGCGUGAGUGAUGAAGGUCUUCGGAUCGUAAAACUCUGUUAUUAGGGAAGAACAUAUGUGUAAGUAACUGUGCACAUCUUGACGGUACCUAAUCAGAAAGCCACGGCUAACUACGUG